GGACUACAGGGGUAUCUAAUCCCUUUUGCUCCCCACGCUUUCGUGCCUGAGCGUCAGCAAUUGUCCAGGUAGCCGCCUUCGCCUCUGGUGUUCCUCACGAUAUCUACGCAUUUCACUGCUACACCGUGAAUUCCGCUACCCUCUCCAAUGCUCUAGUCAUGUAGUUUCAGGCGCAAUUCCGGGGUUAAGCCCCGGGCUUUCACACCUGACACACAUAACCGCCUGCGCACCCUUUACGCCCAGUGAAUCCGAAUAACGCUUGCAGUCUCUGUAUUACCGCGGCUGCUGGCAC
rnacentral:rRNA from 1 species